rfam:Candidate division WS6 bacterium OLB20 TR69_WS6001CONTIG000003, whole genome shotgun sequence.
GCACCAGUAGCUCAGACGGAUAGAGCAAGGCACUCCUAACGCCUAGGCCGCAGGUUCGACUCCUGCCUGGUGCA